rnacentral:rRNA from 1 species
AGAUUGAACGCUGGCGGCAGGCCUAACACAUGCAAGUCGAGCGGUAGAGAGGUGCUUGCAUCUCUUGAGAGCGGCGGACGGGUGAGUAAUGCCUAGGAAUCUGCCUAGUGGUGGGGGAUAACGUUCGGAAACGGACGCUAAUACCGCAUACGUCCUACGGGAGAAAGCGGGGGACCUUCGGGCCUCGCGCCAUUAGAUGAGCCUAGGUCGGAUUAGCUAGUUGGUGAGGUAAUGGCUCACCAAGGCGACGAUCCGUAACUGGUCUGAGAGGAUGAUCAGUCACACGUAGGAACUGAGACCACGGUCCAGACUCCGU